rnacentral:rRNA from 1 species
AACGCUAGCUACAGGCUUAACACAUGCAAGUCGAGGGGAAACGACAUCGAAAGCUUGCUUUUGAUGGGCGUCGACCGGCGCACGGGUGAGUAACGCGUAUCCAACCUGCCCACCACUUGGGGAUAACCUUGCGAAAGUAAGACUAAUACCCAAUGACAUCCCACGAAGGCAUCCGAAUGGGAUUAAAGAUUUAUCGGUGAUGGAUGGGGAUGCGUCUGAUUAGCUUGUUGGCGGGGUAACGGCCCACCAAGGCAACGAUCAGUAGGGGUUCUGAGAGGAAGGUCCCCCACAUUGGAACUGAGACACGGUCCAAACUCCUACGGGAGGCAGCAGUGAGGAAUAUUGGUCAAUGGGCGAGAGCCUGAACCAGCCAAGUAGCGUGCAGGAAGACGGCCCUAUGGGUUGUAAACUGCUUUUAUAAGGGAAUAAAGUGGGUCACGUGUGACUUUUUGCAUGUACCUUAUGAAUAAGGACCGGCUAAUUCCGUGCCAGCAGCCGCGGUAAUACGGAAGGUCCGGGCGUUAUCCGGAUUUAUUGGGUUUAAAGGGAGCGUAGGCCGGAGAUUAAGCGUGUUGUGAAAUGUAGAGGCUCAACCUCUGCACUGCAGCGCGAACUGGUCUUCUUGAGUACGCACAACGUGGGCGGAAUUCGUGGUGUAGCGGUGAAAUGCUUAGAUAUCACGAAGAACUCCGAUUG